AAUUGUUUUAUUGCGCGUUAGAUAAAUAUAACGGGCUUUUAGAGAAUUUUUUUCGUUUAGUAGAUACUUGGAAAAGCGUUGAUUGUCCGUUGAUUUUACAAACACAUUGUACUAUUAUAUCAAUAGAUACUUGGAAAAGCGUUGAUUGUCCGUUGAUUUUACAAACACAUUGUACUAUUAUAUCAAUAGAUACUUGGAAAAGCGUUGAUUGUCCGUUGAUUUUACAAACACAUUGUACUAUUAUAUCAA